rnacentral:rRNA from 1 species
UACGUAGGUGGCAAGCGUUGUCCGGAUUUACUGGGCGUAAAGAGCGCGCAGGCGGUCGUUCAAGUCGCGUGUGAAAGCCCCCGGCUCAACUGGGGAGGGUCACGCGAUACUGAUCGACUCGAAGGCAGGAGAGGGUAGUGGAAUUCCCGGUGUAGUGGUGAAAUGCGUAGAUAUCGGGAGGAACAUCAGUGGCGAAGGCGGCCAUCUGGGUCAACACUGACGCUGAAGCACGAAAGCGUGGGGAGCAAACAGG